UCCCUGACCAGAAAAUCAAGUAAAUCAAUGCAGACCUUCAGAACGUGCAAGAUGUAAAUGGAGGCACUGACUUUCCCUGACCAGAAAAUCAAGUCAGUCAAUUCAGACCUUCAGAACUUGCACGAUGUAAAUGGAGGCACUAACUUUUCUCUCCCAAACAUAUAAGUUGAUUCAGUUCAUUUUAUUUCACUCCCAAAGUUUACAUUGUCUAUUUCUGGCAUGUCUAUCGGACUAUCAGUACUUUGGCAGCCUACAUUAUGG